rnacentral:lncRNA from 1 species
AAAAUGGUGGAAGGUGCUUGCAAGAAAUUUGUUGUAAUUGUCGAUGAAACAAAAUUGGUUAAGCAUAUAGGUGGGAGUGGAUUGGCUAUGCCGGUUGAGAUUGUGCCCUUUUGUUGGAAAUUUACUCUCGAGAGGCUUCAAAUGAUGUUUAUGGAUGCAGGGUGUGUUGCUAAGCUGCGGAGGUUUAUUGAAAAUGGUGAACCUUUUGUUACGGAUAAUGGGAAUUAUAUAAUUGAUUUGUAUUUUGAGAAAGAUAUUGGGGAUUUGAAGGUUGCUAGUGAUGAAAUUUUGAGGCUUGCUGGUGUUGUUGAGCAUGGAAUGUUUUUGGAUAUGGCUACGACAUUGAUUGUUGCAGGUGAGCUUGGUGUUACGGUCAAGAAUAAGUAGUUUAGCUUUUAGAGGCUUAUCUAUCAAUUUGCUUAGCUAACGUAUUAGUAUAUCUAUGGAAGGGUGGUAGGGAUUGCCCUGUUAAAUUUGGGCUACAAUGAGUCAAUUGUUGUAUCAGAUACAAUCUUGGAUAUGUGAUUGGGGAUGAUGUUCCGAAAGUUUUGCAAAUUCUUGACAUUUUUGUCUCAUCAUCUAAUUAUUAAUACAUUUCAUUUCCAAACAUAUCAUGGCUUCGUAAUAGUUAUCUUUAAUCUUUUAUUAUUUUUCGCGGUUGGAAUGUUGUGCAUGACAAUAAGUAAUUCUUCAAUCUUGUCUUCAUGUGGAUUGUUUCUGUUAACUAUUGCCUGUAGCAUAUGCUUGGAGUUAACCUGUAUGUUUGUUUUUAACUUUGGUUACUGGUUAACCUGUAUGUUUUGUAUGUUGCUCAUUAAUUUGUUCAACUAAUACAACUUUAUUAUCGAUAAUAAAACUUGUUGUUUUCAUUAUCACCAAUGGAUACCUGUUGGUUGUUAAUCAGCCUUUUUCUCUUUAAGCAUAGGUUUUUUUCCGAUUGAGUGCAUAAGUUAGGAUUGUAUUGUAAGUAGAAUUGAAAACGGUUGUCGUGGUAGGUUUUAUGAUAUUUCUUGAGCAGAGUCUUUCUGGUCGAAGGCAUCAGCUGGCAUCAGAUCUGUAUGUUAGUAGUGGAAAUGGUUAUAUUGCAGUUAGUCUUGUGAUAUUCUAUUGUGUAGUGUGGCUUUUGUGCUAUAUGUUCUAUGUGAUGGAUCCGCUCCAUUCUGUGCGGCUAAGUCUUAGAAGAUGUAACGAAGCAGACAUUGUACAUCCUAUCCUAGCCAGUUUUAGUUAAUUGUAGACCUAGGAACAUCUGAACUACCAAAGUACCUUCUGAUAGUUUGAUAUUUUACUGGUAGAAACUUAAUUGGAUUAGAUGCAUCCAAUUAAGUUUCAAACCUCUGAGCAAGUAGACAUUUUUCAUGAACCACCCUUCAAGUAAUACAGGUGAAGGUUUUGUUUAGACUCGCAGAAAUAAACCAGCAAGCUGAAUAAGUAUAAUUAGCGGAAUCGUCUCAACUUGCAGUAAUCCAAGCAAUUGAUGUAUGUAGUAAUUCAGGCAUGCAGAAGAGUAGCUGUUCUGAACUCCCUUGACAGAUCAGGUUUUCCCUAGCUUGAGUAUCAUAUUGAAGUAUUAGUUAUCAUUAGUGUCCACCACAAAAGGCAUAGCAACUAGCAAGUGUUGGUUUAUUUUAGAUUUUAGAUUGCAGCAUCAUAUCCAUUGCAAUAACAGUGUAGCUGCAGUUGCACUCACUCAGCAUUUGAUAUGGCAGAAGCUCAAUUUGAAUGUUACAGAAUCAGUCCAGUGGUCAUUAUCAAAUAUCAACCACGUGAGUUUGUUUAGCUGAAAAAAAAUAAUGACUGAUCGAUUUCAAUUUCAACCAGAUUUUAUAAUUUGGAUUUUAAUUAAUUUCCUAGGUUUGCUGAAACAGAGAUUUAUAUCAUAAAAGAAGUAGUUUAAAUUUACCUGAACAUGACAUGUGAACUCAACUUGAGUUACUCAAGUAAUCAACUUUCCUUGUAAUAAAGAAUAAUAUAUAAAAAAGUAGUCAUUAAAAAUGUGUGACACUGAAUUAUUGACGAUAAAAAGGUAAAUAAAAUAUAUAACUGAAAUGAGCAUUAUUUUUUAAAAUGUGAGUUAUUUUUUUAGUUUAAAUAGAUCGGAAUGAAAUGACUGAUCAAACGAAAAAUAUAUACAUAUUCUUCGUCAACCUAAUUUAUCGUAUAAAUCUUAUUUAUAUUAUUUUAUUCAAAUGAAAAUGGCCUUAAUUUUACGGAAUAAAAUACAUCCAACUUAUUUACCUGCCUUAAAUAUAUGUUGCUAAACAUCGUGAUUUUUGGAAAUGAUUUUAAGAUUAAAAAGAUUUAUAGUACUCCCUCCGUCCCAUUGGAUUGUUAACAUCACUUUUUGGCACGCUUUUUAAGGCCUCAAUAAAAUAUAGCUCCAUGAUGUUUUUUUUUAUAAAAAAAAUUCUGAAUAAAAGUUUGAUGUCUAAACUUUUAUUCAGGAAAAAAAUAAAUUUAAAAAAUAUUAUAUUGCUAUAUUUUAUAAAAGCCUCAAAAUGCGUGCAAACAGUGUAAGUUAACAAUCCCACCGGAGGGAGUACUAUCUUAUUAUCGGACACUGUCACUAUAUUUUAGUUUGAAAAAAUAUAGAAGUGCUCUCCUUUUCACUGUUCACUUGGCUUGUUUCGAGUUUUGGCAGCUCAGCUGUUUCAGCUGUUCCUUUCCUUCACAGCCCAACAAUAUCUCAGGUCUCUCCCUCCCUCUCUCUCUCUCAUUGUGUGUGUUGAAUUUUUAAUGGUUUCUUUCUGUGAAAUAGUAUAUGGGGUUUCUUUAUUUUGAUGUAUGUGAAUUGGUUUUUUUUUAUUCUUGAUAUUGAUUGUAAUGUCACCAGAAUUAAUCUUGUAAAGUUUUGUGAUUUUUUUGAUGGCUAAACGGGGUUUCUUUGUUUUGAUGUUUGAGAAUUGGGUUUUCUCAAUUCUUGAUAUUCAACUUUGAAUUCAAUGGCAAUUGGCACCAGAAUGGCUCUUUAAAAUUUGGAUUUUUUUUUUUUGGUUAUUUAUAAUCGAGUAAUAGUGUGUUAUUUGAAUGUGUUUGAUGUAUGGAACUAAGUUUGAGCUUAUGUUUUAUGUUUGAUUGUGCUGAAUUGGAUUAUUUUGUUUUCAUUAUUUUGUUAUAAGAAAUUGGUUUGGUUUUGAGAAUGGUGUAGGAGAAGCAAAUUUAGGGAGGUGGAGAAGUGGAAUAUCAAGGGGGAUAGGAGAGGGUCCCUGUCAAGGAUCGAGCCAUUUGUUUUGGCAGAGGAGAGAUCGAGCCAUUUGUUUUGGCAGAGAAGAGGACAAACAAGCUGACAUGCUUUCGGGAUUUAAGAAAUAUCAGGGUGGAUGGGACAUUGGUAAUAAGCAUUACUAGAUUGUGAGUGCUUUUCUCUUUAGUUAUCGCUCUUGGAUAUAUAAAGUUAUGUGUGUUUCUAAAUGUUUAGCUCUGUUCUGUUCUAUGUUUCUCCCAAUUAUACUAUUAUUUAAUUUUGUGGAAUAGUUAGUGAGUAAGAUAAAAUAUAUCAGGCAAGAUUCAUAGACUUCUGUUCGGGAGUAGAGACCUACAGGCUACAGUCUGUGUGUUAAACUUGAUGCUAGAAAUUAGGAAAGACAUUGAUUCUUGUUAAGACCUUCCACAGCCAAGAAGAAAGAGAAAGAAAUACAGUUUCUGUUAAAGUGAGAGUAAUUAGUAAGAAAUAUGAUUUGAGCUCUAGGAGAAUGAUUAUAGUAGGUAAUCACGGUUCAGUGUAGGCAUAUGAGGCCAGCUGUUCUAAAACACACACCUGCAGGGCACUGGCCUGCGGCUGUUGGAGUCCUCAAAACACUCACAAAAUGAAAAUGUAAUUAAUUAUAAACAGAGAGGAGUGAAUUCCAAUAAAAGAGUAGUAUUAUCCUAGUUCUUAUGAAACUGCACUAUUCAUCUAUGAUUAUCAUAGGAUUUGUCUGAGAAAUAAUCAAAUAAGGCAUCACAACCUGGAUUGUUUGUGAAACUUGAUUAGGCAAUAUAUGAUUACUUGAAUUCCCAGUCAUUACCAUUUACCAGUGUCAUCCUUAAAGUAAUCAUUGUGGACCUUAUCAUAUUUGCUGCAUGAAUAUAUAUAUAUAUAUUUCUAUACAUAUCUAUAUAUUUUUGAAGGUCUGUGGCGCAGUGUGUAUUAAAUUAUAGAUAUGUACUAGUUGUUAAAGUUGUUGCUAAUUUUUAGUCAUGCAUUUCUUACACCGACUGUCACAAAUGCAUUGCUUGCUGCUUAAGUUGUAUAACUCACACAUAUUAUGCAAUGCUAUUACUUUUCUUGUAAGAAUUAUCUUUUAUUAUCUUUUGUAUCUGACAAAUGCACUGCUCUUGGUUUAUGUCAUUUAGAAUUGUUCUUUGUGUACAUCAAUGCUGUAUGGCUGUCAUGCUGUGGGUGGAGAAUUGGUAUCAAAGGAAAAGAAUCUCCAUAUUCUGAAAGAAUAUUCUUGAUCUUGCUUAUAGACUUCACAUGUGCUGCAGGGUAAUAAUCUUGACACUACUUUAUGGCCUUCAAUUCUAGAUACUUCUAAUUUUCCUCGUCCUAAUGUCUGUUUGCACUUUACUUCUUUCAAUCUUGAUUCGUUUUCUUGGUAAGCCUAUCCGGUUGAGAUUGCUUUCACAACAAUACUUAUUAGUUAUAGUUUAUCUUUUAUCAUGAAUUACAUUAGUCUCUUAUAUAAACAUCGUGGUAUACCUAAAAACAGAAAUAACCCAUGGAUUCAUAAUACUUUUACUAGCAAGUGUUUGAUUCAGCUAACAUCACUCUUACAUUUACAAAAUAAUAAAAGCAGGAUCAAUCAAUUCAUCUAAUGCUGUUUCUAAGAGUUUAUAUACCGGACAAUAUGUCUUUUAUCCCCCCAAUUGCCUUGUAAUAUUGAAAUAUGGCAAGGGGAGCUGAAGACCAUCGGCCCGUACUAAAUUGACCUCUCAUGCUUUUCGCACUUUCUUCAAACUAAGAGUUCCUUUGUUUGGAUCAUAUAUUUCUUCAUGCAAGACUUUGGUGCACUGGACUUAAUAAUUCCAUUCUAAAGACAAAUUAUAUGCACAAAGAAUCCAGAGAUUAUAGUUUUUUGUUAACACACCUUUUCAUGUGUGCCAUGACUUAGGUGAUCAUUUCUGUUCCGGGUUCCGUAAAUCCAGCAUCCCCCUCCNNNNNNNNNNNNNNNNNNNNNNNNNNNNNNNNNNNNNNNNNNNNNNNNNNNNNNNNNNNNNNNNNNNNNNNNNNNNNNNNNNNNNNNNNNNNNNNNNNNNNNNNNNNNNNNNNNNNNNNNNNNNNNNNNNNNNNNNNNNNNNNNNNNNNNNNNNNNNNNNNNNNNNNNNNNNNNNNNNNNNNNNNNNNNNNNNNNNNNNNNNNNNNNNNNNNNNNNNNNNNNNNNNNNNNNNNNNNNNNNNNNNNNNNNNNNNNNNNNNNNNNNNNNNNNCCCCCCCCCCCCCCCCCCCCCCCCAAAAUGAUUAAUGCAUUUAUCAGCUUGGGUUACACUAGCUUGAACUUGAGAACAUGGCUGAAGUAGCCAAAUUAAAUUAACCAUAAACCAAUAGUAGUAUGAUCAAUGAGUUGAGGGGAUGCUAAAAUCUGAUAUUACUAAAGCAAAUGUUGGGAAUCUAGAAGCCCAGUGAGUUGGGAAUAUGCGGAGAAUGGUAGCAAUGAAAGCAAGGCCAAUGCCUUGUUCACCUCUCUAUCUUAUAAAGUUAAGGAGACCUCUCCAUUGAUUUCCUUUUCAUAUAGUAAGUCACAAAAUCACAUUAAUUUAAUCUAUCAUAACACGAUUGUAUAUAAAUAAUUUUCAACUUUUUUUAAAUAUGAUCAUUAACAAUCCAAUACAUUAUAAAAAAUUGAAGUGUUAUGCUGAUAUUUUUCUGUAUUUUUCUUAUAUAAGGGUGUUGUUUAUGUACUGUUUAUACUUUUAGUUAUCUAAUUAGAGCUAACUAGCUAAGUUAUGACUUAUGAAUAUAAUCCAAUAUUAUUAUUAUAAAACUAAAUAUGUAGAUUUCUGGUUACCCUCCAGGCCUCCCUCCCUAGUCCAGCCAAUUUUUUCCCUUAUUUUUGCUUAUAAAUUCAAGUGCCCAAACACAAAAAAUAUUCAGACAAAAAACACCCAAUUUUAUCUAUAACAAGCAAUCCAAAACCCUGCCACCACCCUUUUCUCUCCUCUCCCACAUUCUGACAAUCCAAUAUUCUCACAACCCAUUCAAAUUUGUAAUCAUUUCCACAUCUUUCUUUUCCCACAAUACCUUCUUCCUUGAUACAUACAUCAUGUACAGUAAUAUUGCAUGUAUUGUUAAAAAGCUUCCUUUUAUAUCCUCCACUCUUUUUCAAAUCUCAAAACUCUAAUCUUUAUCCUCUCCUCUGCAAUGCUACAGCCCUUGUUUAUUUUUGCUAAAUGCUGCUAUAGCCCUUUAGCAAUUGCCAAUUAGCAACCCAUUUUAGAGCCCUUUAGCAAUUAGCACCCAUUUUAGACCCUUGAUAUCUUCAUUACUCAUAAAGGUUCAAUUUUUAUUCAUACCCAUCAAUUUGUUUUCUUAAAGAUUUUUUGUUCUAACCCUCCAUUUUAUUUCCAUAAAGAUUUUAUUUUUACACACCCCCCAUUUUAUAUCCAUAUAGAUUCUAUUUUUAUUCAAUUUCUUGAUAUUAUGGCAAUUCCCCACCCUCAUUUUAUUGGGACUAACAAGCCAAAAGUUGAUCUUGUCAAAUGGAAUCUUCACAGUCAACUUUGAUUUUAACCCAAGAUGAAUUAAAGAAAAUCGCAGCCUACAAAGCUGUCGAAUUUGUCGAAUCAGAUACAGUUUUAGGGUUAGGAACUGGGUCUACUGCUUGUUAUGCUGUGGCUCGAAUUGGGGAGCUUUUGCAACAAGGAAAGCUCAAGAACAUUGUAGGAAUUCCUACGUCAAAAAAGACUCAUGAGCAGGCUGUUUCGGUUGGAAUUCCAUUAUCUGAUCUCGAUAAUUACCCGGUUCUUGAUCUUGCGAUAGAUGGGGCAGAUGAGGUUGAUCCUGAUUUGAAUUUGGUUAAGGGGAGAGGUGGGUGUUUGUUAAGAGAGAAAAUGGUGGAAGGUGCUUCCAAGAAAUUUGUCGUAAUUGUCGAUGAAACGAAAUUGGUUAAGCAUUUAGGUGGUAGUGGGUUGGCUAUGCCGGUUGAGGUUGUACCUUUUUGUUGGAAAUAUACUCUCGAGAGGCUUCAGAAGAUGUUUGUGCAUGCAGGGUGUGUUGCUAAGCUACGGAUAAUUAGUGAAAAUGGCGAACCUUUUGUUACGGAUAAUGG